AACAGCGGCCACAGCAUACGGCACGCAGAUGGAGGGAGUUGCUGCAAAGGAGUUCCAGAGGAAGUUCCCAACAAUAGUGUAUCAGGCUGGGCUCUUGGUGCACCCUGAACAAAGAUGGCUAUGUGCAAGCCCGGAUGGGGUAGUGCGGCUGGCUGAUGGCCUUUAUUUGCUUGAAAUCAAAUGCCCAUUUGGCCGGAAAGGACAGCCAAUCAUUGAUUGCAAAUCUGAAACAAGCUACGUUCAGUACCUACAGUAUGAAGGAAGGAAGCUGGUGCUUAAAAAGUCGCAUCAAUACUAUACACAAGUGCAAAUUGCAAUGUAUGUCAUGAAUGUAACAGAGGCAUUCUUUUUUGUAUAUUCUGAUGCGCAGUCAGUGAAUGUGAUGGUAGAGCGUGACGAUGAUCUGCUUAGUGAACUUGUUCCAAAACUAGAGACAUUCUAUUUUACUCACAUGCUGCCAAGAAUGGCUCCCAGGUCUAAAUGAAUAUGUAAUUAGACCUUAAGUUUUCUGGUUUAAUUUUUUUGGUUAGUCCACGUAUUCUAGUCAGUUCAAUUUCUGUAAGUUGGGACCUGGUGCUCUGUAUGAUAUUUCAAAUCGUGUUGAAGCAAUAAAUGAGAAACAGUGUGACAGCCAUUUUGCAACAGGACACUUUUUUUUAGCAACUGCAUUAGCACUCAACAUAUUUAAUUUUCACACUGGUCCCCAUUGCACUUCAACACAGCAGGCCAAAUGCCAAAAUGAAGUACGCUGAAAUCAUUGCUGCGUCUUGAAAAUGGGUGGCUGAAGAUUUGCAAGUACUGCGCACAUAUGAAAAAUGUCAGUCAUGUAUGGCACA